rnacentral:rRNA from 1 species
CCUACGGGUGGCAGCAGUAGGGAAUAUUGCUCAAUGGGGGAAACCCUGAAGCAGCAACGCAGCGUGGAGGAUGACGGUUUUAGGAGUUUAAACUCCUUUUGUGAGAGAAGUUAAUGACGGUAUCUCACGAAUAAGCACCGGCUAACUCCGUGCCAGCAGCCGCGGUAAUACGGAGGUUGCAAGCGUUACUCGGAAUCACUGGGCGUAAAGCGUGCGCAGGCGGGCUUGUAAGUCAGAUGUGAAAUCCUGUAGCUUAACUACAGAACUGCAUUUGAAACUAUGAGUCUAGAGUGUGGUAGAGGUAGGUGGAAUUCGUGGUGUAGGGGUAAAAGCCGUAGAUAUCAAGAGGAAUACUCAUUGCGAAGGCGACCUACUGGAAUAUUACUGACGCUGAUGCACGAAAGCGUGGGGAGCAAACAGGAUUAGAUACCCGGGUAGUC